GAGAUUCUUUACCUGAGAUCAAGACAUCCUUCCUUACCCAAGGCAGAGAGAUACCUUCUUAGCAACAAAUCCUCUGAGUAACAGCUGGCCAGACACAGGGAGGUAACUGCCAAGGACCUGACUGCUGCUCUGUGGGGUUUUUAGUGAUCUACAGGCAGAAGUGGAGAUGUGACACCAGCACUGGGUUCACACUCUGUCCUCUGACCCACCAACACCCUGUUCAGUCCUUGGGGACCAGCCUCCAGCCUGGACUUCAGCGAUGUGGG